UGCAUGUCCACUUUUUUUUUCUCUUCUAAUAAAGUGUAUGUGAUGACGAACGUGAAACGUCAAUGUUUAAUGAAAGUGGUCAAUGUUCUAUUAAAAGACAAUCCACUUACAUUCCUAAAAUCUACCGAUCUUGUCUGAUAUUAGAAAAGCUGUCUCAUAAUAAUGAUUGGAUGCAACUUCAAGAUGAAUAAUUCCUCCUUAACCC
rnacentral:lncRNA from 1 species